rnacentral:rRNA from 1 species
UUAAGCGACUAAGCGUACACGGUGGAUGCCCUGGCAGUCAGAGGCGAUGAAGGACGUGCUAAUCUGCGAAAAGCGUCGGUAAGGUGAUAUGAACCGUUAUAACCGGCGAUGUCCGAAUGGGGAAACCCAGUGCAAUUCGUUGCACUAUCGUUAACUGAAUACAUAGGUUAACGAGGCGAACCGGGGGAACUGAAACAUCUAAGUACCCCGAGGAAAAGAAAUCAACCGAGAUUCCCCCAGUAGCGGCGAGCGAACGGGGAGCAGCCCAGAGUCUGAAUCAGCUUGUGUGUUAGUGGAACGGUCUGGAAAGUCCGACGGUACAGGGUGAUAGUCCCGUACACCAAAAUGCACAGGCUGUGAACUCGAAGAGUAGGGCGGGACACGUGGUAUCCUGUCUGAAUAUGGGGGGACCAUCCUCCAAGGCUAAAUACUCCUGACUGACCGAUAGUGAACCAGUACCGUGAGGGAAAGGCGAAAAGAACCCCGGCGAGGGGAGUGAAAAAGAACCUGAAACCGUGUACGUACAAGCAGUGGGAGCACCUUCGGGUGUGACUGCGUACCUUUUGUAUAAUGGGUCAGCGACUUAUAUUCUGUAGCAAGGUUAACCGUAUAGGGGAGCCGCAGGGAAACCGAGUCUUAACUGGGCGUUAAGUUGCAGGGUAUAGACCCGAAACCCGGUGAUCUAGCCAUGGGCAGGUUGAAGGUUGGGUAACACUAACUGGAGGACCGAACCGACUAAUGUUGAAAAAUUAGCGGAUGACUUGUGGCUGGGGGUGAAAGGCCAAUCAAACCGGGAGAUAGCUGGUUCUCCCCGAAAGCUAUUUAGGUAGCGCCUCGUGAAUUCAUCUUCGGGGGUAGAGCACUGUUUCGGCUAGGGGGUCAUCCCGACUUACCAACCCGAUGCAAACUACGAAUACCGAAGAAUGUUAUCACGGGAGACACACGGCGGGUGCUAACGUCCGUCGUGAAGAGGGAAACAACCCAGACCGCCAGCUAAGGUCCCAAAGUCAUGGUUAAGUGGGAAACGAUGUGGGAAGGCACAGACAGCCAGGAUGUUGGCUUAGAAGCAGCCAUCAUUUAAAGAAAGCGUAAUAGCUCACUGGUCGAGUCGGCCUGCGCGGAAGAUGUAACGGGGCUAAACCAUGCACCGAAGCUGCGGCAGCGACACUAUGUGUUGUUGGGUAGGGGAGCGUUCUGUAAGCCUGCGAAGGUGACCUGUGAGGGUUGCUGGAGGUAUCAGAAGUGCGAAUGCUGACAUAAGUAACGAUAAAGCGGGUGAAAAGCCCGCUCGCCGAAGACCAAGGGUUCCUGUCCAACGUUAAUCGGGGCAGGGUGAGUCGACCCCUAAGGCGAGGCCGAAAGGCGUAGUCGAUGGGAAACAGGUUAAUAUUCCUGUACUUGGUGUUACUGCGAAGGGGGGACGGAGAAGGCUAUGUUAGCCGGGCGACGGUUGUCCCGGUUUAAGCAUGUAGGCUGGUUAUCCAGGCAAAUCCGGAUAAUCAAGGCUGAGGUGUGAUGACGAGGCACUACGGUGCUGAAGUAACAAAUGCCCUGCUUCCAGGAAAAGCCUCUAAGCAUCAGGUAACAUCAAAUCGUACCCCAAACCGACACAGGUGGUCAGGUAGAGAAUACCAAGGCGCUUGAGAGAACUCGGGUGAAGGAACUAGGCAAAAUGGUGCCGUAACUUCGGGAGAAGGCACGCUGGUGUGUAGGUGAAGUCCCUGCGGAUGGAGCUGAGACCAGUCGAAGAUACCAGCUGGCUGCAACUGUUUAUUAAAAACACAGCACUGUGCAAACACGAAAGUGGACGUAUACGGUGUGACGCCUGCCCGGUGCCGGAAGGUUAAUUGAUGGGGUUAUCCGUAAGGAGAAGCUCUUGAUCGAAGCCCCGGUAAACGGCGGCCGUAACUAUAACGGUCCUAAGGUAGCGAAAUUCCUUGUCGGGUAAGUUCCGACCUGCACGAAUGGCGUAAUGAUGGCCAGGCUGUCUCCACCCGAGACUCAGUGAAAUUGAACUCGCUGUGAAGAUGCAGUGUACCCGCGGCAAGACGGAAAGACCCCGUGAACCUUUACUAUAGCUUGACACUGAACAUUGAGCCUUGAUGUGUAGGAUAGGUGGGAGGCUUUGAAGCGUGGACGCCAGUCUGCGUGGAGCCAACCUUGAAAUACCACCCUUUAAUGUUUGAUGUUCUAACGUUGGCCCCUUACCGGGGUUGCGGACAGUGUCUGGUGGGUAGUUUGACUGGGGCGGUCUCCUCCCAAAGCGUAACGGAGGAGCACGAAGGUUAGCUAAUCCUGGUCGGACAUCAGGAGGUUAGUGCAAUGGCAUAAGCUAGCUUGACUGCGAGCGUGACGGCGCGAGCAGGUGCGAAAGCAGGUCAUAGUGAUCCGGUGGUUCUGAAUGGAAGGGCCAUCGCUCAACGGAUAAAAGGUACUCCGGGGAUAACAGGCUGAUACCGCCCAAGAGUUCAUAUCGACGGCGGUGUUUGGCACCUCGAUGUCGGCUCAUCACAUCCUGGGGCUGAAGUAGGUCCCAAGGGUAUGGCUGUUCGCCAUUUAAAGUGGUACGCGAGCUGGGUUUAGAACGUCGUGAGACAGUUCGGUCCCUAUCUGCCGUGGGCGCUGGAGAAUUGAGGGGGGCUGCUCCUAGUACGAGAGGACCGGAGUGGACGCAUCACUGGUGUUCGGGUUGUCAUGCCAAUGGCACUGCCCGGUAGCUAAAUGCGGAAGAGAUAAGUGCUGAAAGCAUCUAAGCACGAAACUUGCCCCGAGAUGAGUUCUCCCUGAGACUUUAAGUCUCCUGAAGGAACGUUAAAGACGAUGACGUUGAUAGGCCGGGUGUGUAAGCGCAGCGAUGCGUUGAGCUAACCGGUACUAAUGAACCGUGAGGCUUAACCU